rnacentral:rRNA from 1 species
AUUGAACGCUGGCGGCAGGCUUAACACAUGCAAGUCGAACGAGUGGCGGACGGGUGAGUAAUGCUUGGGAACCUAGCUUAUGGAGGGGGAUAACUACGGGAAACUUUAGCUAAUACCGCGUACCAUAGGAUGAGCCCAAGUGGGAUUAGGUAGUUGGUGAGGUAAAGGCUCACCAAGCCGACGAUCUCUAGCUGGUCUGAGAGGAGGAUCAGCCACACUGGGACUGAGACACGGCCCAGACUCCUACGGGAGGCAGCAGUGGGGAAUAUUGCGCAAUGGGGGCAACCUGACGCAGCCAUGCCGCGUGAAUGAAGAAGGUCUUCGGAUUGUAAAGCUCUUUAAGUUGGGAGGCGGUACCAACAGAAUAAGCACCGGCUAACUUCGUGCCAGCAGCCGCGGUAAUAC